AGGCUGAGUUUAUUUAUGAUUGUGGAAACACAGUCAUACCUCAGAUGCACAGAGUUUUAUGAUGUGUAUAAGCCCCAAUAUAUAAAUAGAUGACAGGAUCAACGAAGAGAUUUCUCCAGUUAUGUCAGGACAUUUUGACAGUUUGUCUGUGGCUGAUUUCUCAGCUUGCUUCUGAUGAAUGUAAUUUGAUUUUGCAUUUCUUUCACUUGCAUGUAUUUCAUAUGUGCUUUGCUUAUUUCUGCUGUUGUAAACACAUGCAUUUUCUGCAGCUGUCCAAAGCUCUCUCCAAAGCAAGAACAGCAGCCCUGAGCAGCAAAAUGUAACAUGAAGUCAAAUGUACUGGUGGUAUCUUACCAGACCUAGGUCUUUCCCAUUUGGCAACAGGGGUAUUUUAUUGCUGCACUGUAGUUUGUGUGUGUGCCCUACAGGGAAAACAAGUUUCUGUAACUGUAGUUUACAGCACUGGAAACUGAGGCAUCGGGUAGGGACAGGACUUGCUAUUCCACAUAGCAGCUGUCUGUCAGAGCUGAGCAUCUGCAUGGCCCCAGGAUUUAAGGCAAAUUAGUGGUCCUGCCUUUUGCUGACCUGGCAGACAUUGCCAAAGAGGCCAGCUCUUCUUUCUGUAGGGAAGCGCCUGUUGACCAGCAGCAAAGGCAAAUCCCAGGAGGGUGACAGAACUGCUGUCACAAGAAAGCAGAUGAUUGGGGUAGUGAGACCAAAAGCAUUUUAAGCUUGAAACCAGACUGAUCAAAUAAGCUCUUUUAAUGGAGUUACACCGUCAAAGCUGCUCAGUUUUUGUCUCCGAAAGAGCUGAAAAAACUUUGCAAAGGGCAGUGUUCAGUUUAUGCUGGGGUGCAACUUCUUACAGGCCAGUCACAAGUGGCAGUGCAGCAUCUUUUAUUUUUAGACACUUCCUAGAAGACACUUCUUCUGAAGAACAGGGAGGCUCCUCUGGCUGGAAGGGAAAACAUAUCUGAACUCUCAUAUAUUUCACUGGAAACGUUUAUAGGGUAAAUCCAGACUAUUAGAAUGUAUGAGGCUGGCUCACGUAUCAAAAGCAGUUUAGCUACAACAACAACAGGAGUGAGCUCUGCAGUUUAUUAAUUUACUCUGCUUUUCAACAGUAUAUUACCAAGAACACGGGCCUGUGUGGCACUGGGUUAUACUCAUGCUUUAAAUUUAUCAGAACUGUGAAACAGGUGAAAGAGGAGGAAAAUACAUUUAUUCCUUCAAAUGUUCCUAUUUCUACCUCCUGAAUAUCAGUUGUAACCUAUGUCUGCUGUUGGUUCAUACAUACUUUGUAUGGGGCCUCAGAGGAAGGAUGAACAGUCCAUUUUAUCCAGUUCAUUUUAAAGUCUGGUUAUUCAGAGUCCCCUGCUUUGUGGUAGUGUUACCAAAUGGUAAAACAGAUCCUCACUUUCCCUCCCUGUCCUCUGGACACCAGUGGCAAAAGAUCAGGCUGUUUUUGGUGGUGGUGGCAGAGCAGAUUUAAAAGGAUUAGAGUAGCAGCCAGAGGUUUGGGUUCUUCCCUCAUCUGCACCUUCUGAAGCCUUAUGUCACCUCCAUCAAUAGUGGAUAUAAGUCAGGAAAGAAUUGUUUCAUGGUGUUCUCAUCUGGGUGUACAAAAGAUAGGCGUGCUUUAACUCCCAUCAGUGUGAAUGUGAGUUGCUGUACGCACAUGAAUUCCCACAUGCCUGCAUGUCCACAGGAUUCCUUGGUUUUCCUUCUGACCUUUGGUUAUCAUUACACUUUUUUUACUUUGGAAAUUGCAAGAAUGUAUCUGGGAUGCAAUUCUGGACUGCGAUACAGAAUAAUGUAUUUUUGCCUAUGUAUAUAAAACAUAAACUGUGCCAGUCUUGCAUAACAUCCCAUUGUAAUCAUAGCAGGCUUUCAAAAUAGCAGCAACAAGAGGAGCCUGGAUCAUUUUAAGAAGUACCUUCACGUAAUUAAGGUGUGGGGUUGUUUUUUGUUAAAACGGUGCUUUUCUGUUAAAAAACGUGGUGGUUUUCUUAAAAGACCUUCACCAGUUCUUGGCUCUGAGGAACUCAGAAGUGCAAUGGAUUGGGAGAGAUUAUCGGAAGCCGUUCAGGAAAAUGGUGCACACGCAAGCACAUCUGCACUGCCAUGUGAAAAACCUGUGUGUAUACGGGGAUCACGGAAUACCUGGGGCAUACAGCUGGGUAGAGGCCUAAUAUUCCUCACCUCCCAUGUCUCAGACCUCCUGCUCCUAACCUGAACAUUUCUUGGAACAAGCAGAAAGAGGUACAGCCCAACAGAAGAAGGGGAUUCUGCAAACCUUGCCUCUCCCAUUCAGCAGAAGAGGAGAAGCAAAUGUGGUAUACAAAGCUAUUUCUCAUUCCUCCCCUUGUGAAGAACACUUGCCUUGUGAGAGAGAUAACAUGUGCUGCAAAAGGUACCAGCCUGGAGAUGGGAUGUGGUGGGCCCUGCAGUCACGCAAUGUCUGAGGAGAGAAUUAGGCAAAGUCACAUUUCUUUUGUCCGGACAUGUGAUUACGCCUGAAGGUUAGAAGGAACCCUCCCAGAAUCUUCACCCUAUGGAAAUCAGUGUGGCUUACACUCCACGCCUCCCUCACAGGCUAAAGCUGCUGUGGGCCAACAUGAUCAUCUUGCCUGACUGCCUGUGUAAUACAAAUUGGCAGCAUUUCAUCCAUGAAUAACAGCUCAUUAAUAUGUGAUGGGAGCUGGGAGGCAGCAGUGCUUCCAAACGUUAGCAUACUUUCUGCAUCGCGCAGUCCCGCUGGCUCUGCGUACCGUAUCUCCGGUUUGCAGCAGGUAGUCUUGGGAGAACCGAGGGCUGGUCUGCAAGAUGCAGAUCCUGCACGACUUAUGUCUGGAUCAAAAGGAGGUUUAAAGAUUUUCCUGCUGCUAUUGACCAACUGGAAGCAGAUCCCCAGGCCGGCGUGACUGCUCUGAUAUCUGGAAUGCAGGGGAUUAACAGAGAUUCAGCAAGAGAUUUGAAGACAUGUUGGUUGUACAUCUCUAGUUUCCCCUCACAACACCUAGUAGAUUUGUGACAACGUAGCACUUGCUAUUUUUUAAUUUGCUAACCUUGGACAAAGGGCUAUUUUAAUUAGUGAACCACUUCAGCUUGAGGGAGUCUUUUCAUCCAUACAGAAGGAAGUUUAAUUUCAUCUUUGUGGAAAUCAGCCAUGCUUGGGAAGUAGGAGGUAAAUUGUGCUCAUGUUCAGCCGUAUGCGAUGCCUUUAGGCGAUAAGGCAGAUCUCAGCAUUCGCUCAGGUAGCUGGUGCGCCAGGCCCUCCAGCCUGGCCGGCCCUUCAGUGCAGCUGGCAUUAGAGAGUCACAACUGUGCGCCGUUAUUUGUUGCCGGCAUCUUCAACUUUUGAGAGACGCUGUUGGUAAAAGUUGGCUCUCGGCGUCAGAGUGAUGCUUGCUUGACCCCAGCUACCAGGGAAAUGUAGCAGUCCCAGUCAUUGUCACAACUGAAAAACUGACGGUUUUCCAAGGUGCCUGCUGUAAUUACGCAUUCAGCUGCUCCCCAGUUUCUAUCGGGUGGGAUGGCCAGUUCCCUGAGAUUCACUUGAAAGUCUUGUGUGACUUAGCCGUGCUAACAGAGGAGGUUAAUGGCAGAGACAGGAACCAGAGCAGGUACCUGGCUGCUGCCCUUGAGCUUUGAAUUCCAGACUCUGCAUCCUCCUCCCAUCCGGCAGGUCGCAGAGCAUGCAGGGACCCAGAAAAAUAACGUAAAGAGCUGAUGUUGUGGGUUUACACACAUUUUUACAGUUACACGGGCAUUUUUUGAAAAGAAAAAAAAACCCCUGGAGGGUAUCUUCCUUCUACUCCACGCUGCUCCAUCUCUCUGCAACCAGGGCAGCCCCAGUCAGGUCCAGCCCUUCCAUGCUGGAGCGGGGUUUGGUCCAAGUGCUGUUGGAUCAGCCACACUCCCAGGUCGGCUGCUUCUUCCUGGCUUGGCUUCUGUCUGCCCCCCUAGCUCCUUUCUGUACCCCUUCAUGGUGCAAUUGCCAUUUCUUCCUUUGGCCUCUGCAGCCUCUCCUUGCCAAUUAGAGGCUCUGCUCUCAUCCCCUCUCCUGCUCGCUCGCUCUGCCCGUGUCCACUCUCCCGUGAUGGAUGCUGGCUUAGCUUUCGGAGUGGUUGUACAUUAAAGCCAGAAGGCCUGGGAAGCUUUGUCUGCUCCUGGGCAGGGGAGGGGGUCCCCCCGGCCGGGGUCUCGUGUUGCUUGGCAACAUAUUUCUCUUUCCUCCAGCAGUCAUUUCCCCUUGCAGCGCCUGCUGAUGCACACACAACAAAUGACAGCAAUAUUACAGCAGCAGUUGCUCCUGUCGCUGUUUACUUGUUAUUUAUGGUUAUUGCUGUGAGAGGAUUUGUAAACGUUUCUUCACAUCCUUGGUCAAAACAGUUUUCUUACAUGCCUUUGUGGCACGCCUGCAUAAUUAAUGAAUGGUCAUUGCAUUUCAGUGCAUGUGACAUACAGUCUUAUUGGCAUGGGUUUUUAAGUGGUUGCUGGUUCUGGACAUUUCUAUUUCUCAGCCCCCAAUUGAGACAUCCCAGGUUUUAUACUGAAAAGUGCAAAAAUCCAGUGUAAGAGAGUCCAGCUUAACUGCCUCAAAUUUUGGCCCUCGUUUUUAGGUACGUGUACAUUUAACAAAUUCUGCUCUGAACCCCUGUCAGUCCCUUUCAAAAGGACAUCGAGGCUAACCUUAAGAUUCCAAAAUGAAACCAUUUCCAUGAACAGAGAUAAAGCAGCCAGGGUUCUCCCUGAUGUCUGAGUCUCCACCUUAUCUCUUUGCCCUUCCCUCCUCCACACCAGCCGCUUCCAGCUUAGCCUUUCCGGUUUGCGUUUGUGGAUGUGCCAGAGGAGAAAUAUAGCUUCACUUAUCUGUUUUCUUUAAAACAGCACAGCAAGAAAGCCAGACCACGUGCGUUUUCUGAUCUUACAAUGAAAAUCCUGCUGAGGCCUUUCCUUGACAGGCUGCUGUCACUCAGGACAGAUCUGGAAAGCUUUGCUCCUGCUGCUGGCUAGUUAUGCGCUGACAGAUCUUCCGCUGGGCCUUGAUUCAGCUCUAGUUGCCCAGCAUAUUGCAAGAAAGAAGUGAAGCGAAAACUGGAGCGAAAAAAACCCCCAUGUCUAAAGGAAAAACAAGGAAUUAGAAGAAAACUGCUGCAGCCUAGAAAAGCCUCGUAGUCUCCAUGUCUGCUGUAGGUGUGUUACAAGACAGCUGGCCUGGGCUGGGGAGCUAUGGACUGACUGUGCAAAUUUGCCCUGCUGCCCCUUGCUCAGCUCCUUCCAGGAGGAAGCUCACUGGGCACUUUGCCUCUCCUGCAUUCUGUCUUCUGAAGUAACCUGCUGCACCAUACCUGGGGACCCAAGAAGCUGAAUGCCAAAUAUCGGCAUUUUUUCGUUGGUAAGUGGUUGGUACCUCAAGAGCUAUCCCAACACACUUGUGACUUGGGUGCACAGCAAUCGCUGAAGCACCAUUUAGUCACGUUCCAGAUUUGUGCCCAAGCUUGUCCUCAGAUGUGUGUGUAGCUGCAGGUGGACAAGCAAGGACAUGCCCCUUUGCCUGGAGCUCUGCGGGGGGCAGACCCAGGGCCCUGUUCCCCGUUUGCUUGUGCCAGAACUGCUCAUUUUGUACCAACAAGAGGGAGGUCUCAGGUCCACUGGCUUCAUUAAUAUUUGCUGGUUUAACUGAAUUGAUAGAGCCCCUGCUUUCUAAAAAUCAACUUGUCCUCCAAUGCCCUCUGGUGACGGGAACUAAUUAGAUGCCACUGCUGUUAUUGAAUCCAGUUGCAAAACACUAAUGUUAUUUCAUUCCUAUCAAAUAUUGUAGGCAAAUACUCAGAUUUAGCACAAACUCAAGUCUGCGUUCACUAGUUUGAAUACAAACUUCUCUCCGUAAUUGCUGUGGCACUUCCUAGGAGUGGAAAAACAAGCAUUUUCUAGGGACAGCAUAGCUUAGGGAAUCUCCAAAGCUUAUUAGGUUGAUCCUUUAAAUCCUUUAGUGCUGAUCCUUGCUGCAGAGAAGUACACCUGUGUGUGUGUGUGUCUGCAUGGCUGCAGGAAUGCCUUGUGUCACCUUCCAUGCUUAAUCUCUCAGGAUGGAAAAGCCGUGUCCCCAAAUGGCUUUUAGGAAAACGUGUUGCUGAAAUAAUCACAACCACUUGCAUAUAUGCUGGUGCGCAACUUCUGUCCUCUGCCUGCCAGGGCUCAUGUCAGCGAAGGCACAAACAGCCAGGAAGUGAAGGGUCUGCCUAAUAAAUGUGUAAACACUUUUCAAAACUAGACUUGAUAGAAACGGCAACUCGUGACAGUUUAUCCACUGGCUCUUUUCUAUUAGGUCUGGCUUUACUGUCGGACCUUUGUGAUAAUAGGGAAGCAGGUAAUAAUACUGAAGUACAUGGUGACUGGUUGGUGAAUGAUAAAUAACAUUUUUAGAUUAGAAAGGCAAAAAUACUGAAAUAACCUCCAUAAUAAAGCAGGUCACAUUUCCAUCUUAUGAGCCUAGGGAACUUCUGAGUGUCUCAGGUUUUUUAAUUGUUUCUCUUACUAUUUGCAAUCGCUGUUCCUAAAAAAAAAAAAAAAAAAAAACCCAAACAAAAACCCAACCCAUAGAAAUAACAUUUUUUAAGAACAAAAUGCUCCACGACUUUGCUGCCACAGUGUGCUGCCAUAGACUAAGUGCUUACAGCUUAGUUAUUAGCUUGUGAUAAAGAGAGUUUGUAAUUGGAGCUGCCAGCAGAGCCUUGAUUACUGAGGGGGAUGUAGGCCCAAGUAUAAUUUGAUAAGCUACUUGGGCUUGCAGAUCUGCAGCCAUUAGUAACUGCUUCCAGCAGCACCGAACAUCCGUGCGUUACACCUACAGCUGCUCCGCGCCUGUAGCCAGGGCGGGUUGCUUCUCGCUCCUGCCCUUUCCUCUGCAGCAAACCAGCUCUGAAUGCCAUGUAGGAUUGCAAAAGCAUGCCAAGAGCUGUGCUCCAGCCCCGGCUCUGUGGGACACUGGGGGAGAGACAGCAGUGAGUAUGUGAAUGUGUGGUAGCUGCUGCCUUUCAGCACCCUAACAGGGAGAUCAGGUGCUUCAGAAGUUACACCAGCCUUCCUGGUUUAUGUUAGCAGAAGGUCCUGUCCAAGAUGGGUACAUCAAAGAACAUUUGUCCUCGGGUAUAUCAGGGCACUGCUCAAAGGAAGGAUGGCCAGAACAAGCUAGCAUGUGCAUUAAUUUAUCCCUUCUGCAUGGUCAGGACUUGCAAUUCUCCCACAUUUCUGCAGUGGCCUUUCUAAUGGUACAUGGGACUCUCAUUUCCACCCCCCAGAACAGCUUCCUUCCCUGCCAACAGAGCCCUCUCCCUGCUCCAAGGGCUAUUGAGCCUGUUGCUUUGCAUUUCACACAUGAAAUGUGUGAAAUUUUUCUGUAGCCAUGCAUCUGCCUAAGAAAACCACUGGGGCUUCAGAAAUGAAGACAAGACCUAAGCAUUUUAUGAACUUUCCUGAGGGAAGAGAUCCAUCUUAAAAUGGAGCUGGGCAUAAGCAGGGAGUAUGAUAUAAACCUGUGCAGAUUACCUCACCCCUGUGCAAUGGAAGUUAAUCUUUUGGAAAAGAUGGGUGCCUGUUCAUUACAAGCAAUUACCAUUGGUCAUAAUCUUUCCAGGAAGUACAUGGAGAAUGACUCAGUUCAUUCGAUGAGCUAUUGUGCCAGUUUUCCCUGAAGCACAGGCCGGCGCGAUUACCAAGGCCAGCCCUAAGCUUUCUGAAUGGCAGGGUAUGUAUCAGCGCAGCACGUGGCUUAGCUCGCACUAACAGGCAACUAAUGGAACGGGACUGACCAAGACAAAAGAGGCAGCCGGUAAAAACUCAGCAGAAGUAUGAAUUCCCCAAGCGUGCAUCUGCCCACCCCAUCUUUCUACACUCUUUUGAUAGGUCUGCAGCCAAAGAAGCUCCGAGCUACUAGCGAUACUUCAGAUUUAUUUAAACUGAGGGUCUUAAUGCUUUACAAAAAUUAAUUUAGCUUCUAAACAGGUAUCCAGAUGGGAUCCCACAUCUUUACAUCUAUGGUAUGUGUAAGGUAUGGAGAGAGAGAAAAAGAGAAGGAGAGUGGCUUUACAGUCAGUGAGAAGCAUCUCAAGCUCAAGGCUUCAGUCAAGCUUGCAGAAGGAUCAAGCACAGGUUUUUCAGAGCUACCUAGCAGUGGCUUACUCCUGCACAAGCAGAAGUCAAUGACAAUAAAUAGACCUGAGCCAGGGCAAAAUGUUACAGAAAGCGCUGCCUGAAAUGACUUGUAGCAGGCUCCCUAGGGGGUCUGUCACACAGCCAAGAAUAGAUCCUUCAUCAAAAGAGCAUUUUGUCUGCCCCCAGGUCCAAUGAUAUUGCCAACCUGGCAUUUCAGAGGAGGAAAGAGAUUCAACAUCUACAUUUUUAAUUGAGAGUUAACCCAAAUUUUGUGUUAUUUGGAGCACUGUCUCUGUGCAGGUGGAUGUGUGGAUGUCCUUGCUAACAAGAUAGAGGCACUCUGAACAGGGAGCUUAUUUCAAUGGCUUUACUUUGCGUGCCUCCCUGUGCAAACUGAUCAGAAUGCAGCCCUUCUCUCAGCACUAGGUGGGUGCAUAAACGUUCACUGCUACACUGGCAGCGUACAUUUGGAAGUAUCACUAUUAAGAAAAAAAGUAGUAAGUGCUCUCAGCAAUGUUUGAAAGCAAGUAGUGUGCACAGCAGUUCCACAGCAGUGGCUUUAAUUUUCUGCCAUUGCAAGGUGUAGCUGAUCUACCAUUAACUGUAGGUUUGCACAAUUUCAGAACAGCCCUGAGAAUUUCAAAAGAAGGCUUGUGUAUAUUGAAGGAAAAAACUGCCAAGGAAAAUUCUGCCCAAGACUGGCUGGUGUGAAGUAGUAGGCUCAAGGUAGUUGCCUAAGUUGGAGCGUAAGCAAUAGGAGGGCGAUAACAGUCCCCACUAACAUAUGAUGCCAACUAAGUUGUGUGUUGUUGAGGCAUGUUUUCAGAAAGAGCACGGAGAGUUUAAAUUACUACAAAGCGCUAUCCGACAUGAUUGCAUGCUGGUGAUUAGAACAAACCCAGCUUUUCACGUGGGAUCUCCGUACACAGCCGCAGCUGAGGACUGUAUGGAUUCAUGACUGCAUUUUGCCAACCCACUUAUUACAGUACUUAGGUAUACAUUAUAUUUUCUUGCGCAUUUUAACAUAGAUUUGUAGACCAAAGAUUAAAUAAAAACAUACAGGUUCUUAGCGUUUUCUGGCAACACCAUUCUAAACACUAGCCAUGCCUCUAGAAACGUCUGGAAGAAAUUAUUUUUGUUUUAUGGAGGUCUGCAUAGUCACUGUUUCAAUGAAUUGAAAGGAUGUGAUUAGAGAGUGAGUGCUGCACUGUACUGAACCUUGCCUUACUUUCUCUUUUGUUUGCAAGUCAGACUAGUUUCUGGAAAGAGUGGUCCUGUUGAAAAACAGUGAGAAGUGAGGGACUUACACAGAGACAGAAGAUUAAAACUGCGCACCUGCGUUCUGUGAAACUUGGACAGAAUUGAAUAGUAGUGCAACUGGGUAUACAACAAUGAAUUGUUAACUGUCUUUAAAAAGAAGAGGCUAUAAAAACUUGAUUUGCUGUAGCAAUAGACAUUUGGGGUGUUUCGUGCACACACUUAUAGCAUGCUACUUCUAUCAAUAGAAAAUGCAAGUGCUAAGCAUCCCCAUCUGCUUCUCAACUGAGGCAGAUUAUCAAAAAUCACUGUGGUAGAAAUAAGAGCUUUAAAGAGUAGUAUCCAGAUGCAUUUGCACGUGUACAUUAACCAUGUCAGUUUUAUUCAUCUCAUGUGACACCAGGUUGCCAUUCUAUUGCUUGCUGCAUUAUCCUAUGAUUCCGUACAUACGACAGCUAUGAUUCCUUACAUCUCGGAGCCCGAGGUCCCCCUCUGUGGCCAUGCACAUACACAGCAUUUGUUUGUUUACUGUGGUCUUGCUGUGUGAACCAAACUGUCAACUGGGUCUCAAGAGGGCAAGCGCUAUUUGAUGAACGUGUUAACAUGAUGUAGUCAGGCAAGAUUUUGUCCUGCCGCAUCAGAUCUUUAAAGAGUUUGCCUUUAUACAUUAUAUAUGCAUCCUCAGGAAGAAAAGGACUCUUUUUUUCCUCUCUCCUUUCCCCCGCUGCCCUCUUAAACACCUGUGCAUCGCCUCAUCUAUUUUUACAACUGGUCCGUGCGGAGACAGGCCAAGGAAGAGCCCACCCACUGCACCUACAGACUUGCGGUCACUGCAUCGCGAGAGAGAGCUUAUCACAAAACAGCAGGCAUUCAGGGCGAGAAGAGAGUUUGUCAGUGCUGUAAGCUGAAGACUCAACAGCUGGAGUCGCGUGUGCUGGCACCUUCAAAGGAACAUCAGAGUCCCCAUUCUCACUGGAUGGUCCCAGAAGUGCAUAUGGUUCCCAGAGAUGAUGAUUGGUACCAGUUACUGAAUCAUGUUUUAAUGGAAAGCUACACAUUAACACCACACAUCCCACAGAGAGGACAGAUGGCAUGAUCAGGAGCAGACAGGAACCCAUCUUGUUGUUAACAAGUGUCAGAAAGUUUCCGAUUAGAGCUUAGUCAUGCUUUUAACAGUACACAUUAUUACACAGUCCAGCAUUAUUUGUGUGGAUCAGCUUGGCUUCCUCUCAGGCUGACACAGAUGUUUAUGCAACUGAAAUCAAAGCCUCCGAGUAGCAUGGGGGGUCAUAGCUUAGCAAAGUGAUACAAAAUCACACAGCUGUGCACAGCACACACAUGAACAAGGGCUUUACAGUAAAGCAUCUAAUUCAGCACAGCUUCUACUGAAAUGAGAUACUUUUAGCAGACUUGUCAUAGCUUUAAAACUCCUCACUCGGCUGAAAAUUAUUCCUCGCUUUCAGAUGUGCAAAUAAAUAUUGUUAAGGGCUUUAGAAACAAACAGCAAGAUCUGAGAGUCCCUUUGACCUUUUGCCUUUGCUAGAGGAUUCUUCCAAAGCUCCGGGAUUCAGCUCUAGCAAACUGUACGCAGAACUGCGCUACAGCCCUGUCAGUAACUCAGGCUUUGGCUGAGCAACAAGGAGGUACUGUGCAGAAAAGGUACUGUCACUUGCAAAGCUGGAAGCUGGCAAUAAAAACAGGUGCAUGCCUUUCCCUUCUUCUUUUAGUCCUCUGCUUUAAAAAUGGCUCAUUUUUAAAAGAUGAGUAGAAUGAGGGGAUAGGUAUGUUGGCCUCUGAAAGAUGUUUCACAGGAGUAUCUUUGGCAUUGUAGCACCCUAAAAGGCCAGGUAAACAGCUACAUCUCAGCAGCAUGUAUGCUGUCUUUGACAUGCAGAAAUGCUUGAUUCAAUCAGUCAUGCUUGUAGCACUGAAGGAGCAUGAGCGGUAAGUUUGUAUGUCUCAGAUCACUGCUAAAUAGCUGAGCAUUGAGGAAAAUAAGACAGCUUCAGCAGAAACGAGUUUUUUAGAUUUUUGUGAGAUUUCUUCUACCAGGAAGAAGGCUUCAGAGGGGGAAAUGAAGUAAGAGUUCUGAGUGGCAGAGUGCUUUUCCAUAACCAUGUGUCAAAAACUUGUCUGCUGUAAGACCUCUAAGCCAAAGUUGUGGGAUAUGCAUGGUUACUUCUUAAGUGCCAGACACUGACUUCGGUUGGUACCAUAUUUCCGUACAUUUAGUUCUCUGGUUGAUUGUUUUUUUUUAUUUUAAGAAUUCUCAGUGCACCCUUAAGGUAAUAGAGGGCAAACUCAUCCACUGAUACGCUAUCCCUAUUUCUGCAGGCACCUGAUACUGCACUCAUUGAUGUGCAUGAGAACACAACCAUCUUUCUAAUCCCUAAUCUCUCCAGACACAAGUGGGACUGGCAGUGGCCAGAAGGACUCCAGCCAGCUUCCACUGCUCUACUGUUCAGAGGCUUGUAAAGGCAAAGGCUAUGAGACUGUUCAGGCUUGUAAACGACACCUCACUGGAAAACUGAAGCAAUGCUAUUUUGAGAGAGAAAAUACCAAAUACCACCCCCCCUACUCAGUGGAAUUACAUGAGAAGCCACUAUGUGGAGCCAGCCGCUAAUUAUUUGGCUGACGAAAAAAAGUGGAUUCAAACAAGCUUGUUACAAAAAGUUCACGUGCAUGUGCUCCCUCAUUGCCUUUUGCUCUACCUCCCUCAAAAGUGUAGACGUGGGGCAAUUUGCUGCAAUGUAAAUCAGAUGCACAAACCCACCAGUGAACUUAGUCAAGUGAUGCUGUAGAGACAGAAAGACACAUCCCUUCCGUGUCUUUGGGAGAGAACUCUCCACCAGGUUCCCUGUACUUUCAUCUACCUUAUUCCUUGUUUUGUUCCCAUCUAGUCUAAACUCUUGUAGCCUGUGAAAGAGUACUACCAGUUUCCCAGACCAAACAAGAGAACAGAGUAUAGCUUGAAUGUCAUUACUGACAACAUGCUGUGGUUUGCGUACAUCAUCUGGCAGAUGCAGAGCCUCUGCAGCCACUAGAUUAGGAUGGAAUUUGAUUUAGAAAACAGAAUAGCUUCUAGAUAAUGAGUAUAUUCGAAAGGCUGGGAAAUACGAUAAACUCCUCCAAUCUUGGGCAUGAGAGGUAAUUUCAAAUGUUAGGCAAGGGGACCGUAAGAAAUGUGCACACCAAGGAAACCUUAUCUGUUACAUAAGACUUCCUGUACUGAUGAACCCUAAUGAGAAUUUGUGGACUAAAAGUUCAAAUUCAGCUUUGCAUUGGAAACUUCCCUCACUGUUUACUUCAUUACUUAAUGUGAACGCUUCUCUGUGUUUCCAGUACUGAGUUUAGAGGUUUUGUUACAGGCAGGCAAAUGAUUGGGAUAUAGCAAGAUGCAGGCACUUUUUGCUGUAAAGAAACUCAAGGAGAAAAGAAUCUCAAGAGUAACUCAGUUUUUUAUAAUAAUGUGAGUUUUAUCUGCCUUAUUCCUCCACUGUCUCUGAGGAAAGAGAGAAAUGAAAUACAGAAGAGAAAAAUUCUGACACCCUCAGUAACCAUCUUAGAUGGAUUUAUUAUUUAAUGCAUGCAGCAAGAAACCAUAGAGAAAAGAUGCACGUUUUUGGUACUAGGAACCAUAGGCCAUCUGCUGAGGAGUGUCACUUAAACACAGUAAUGUCUUGUAGAGCACUUAAUUGCAGAGGGAAGUCUUCUGUCCAUACUGGUGAGCAGAUAGGAAGAAUGGCAUUUGGCUCUGCAAGUGGUAUGAGGCAGAGUGUCUCUACCCUGCAGGAUAUUCCUCUCUAUCAUCCAAGCCUUAAGCAUAGCUUGCACAUGCUAUGACAUUAUGAUAAAAGAAUUUGAGAACAUAUGUAUUUCUUCCUGUAGCAUCCAUUCUCUGGAUUUUUCCAUCUCCAAAGCAAUACAACCUAUUGACAGGCAAUCAAUCACCCACAGAAAUCCUUCAAGUUAGUGAGCUCAGGCUGCUCAUACAAUUCACACCUGCAAAUGCCAUUUACUGAACCUGGUAAGGUACUUAAAGUAGCCAGCAAGGCAUGGGGGAGUCAAGAGUUGUAAAUUAUCCCCACAGAGUCUCAGAUUUCGUGAAUAAACAGCCCAACCUCCAUUAACCUAGCUAUGAAGAAGCAUCUGGAAAAUCAGGUAUUCAGGAUAGCGCUUUGUCUAGUCUCUCCUAUCAAGUUAAACAUUCCCAAGGAAAUAAUUCAAUAUUCAUUCAGGAUAAACAACUUGGACACAAACUUGUCUCUUCCAUAUCUAAGCACGUCUACAAUAUUGCCAGGCUGCUGAGCUAAGCUUCUACGGUUCCUUAGGCUCAGUGAUUCUUUUCCCCCCUUGAAAGCACAAGGGAAGCCCUGGGAGUAUACAUUGAAAGAAAUCCACCCACAAGUCCCCUGUAACGGGACGAUGAGGCUGGACCCAGCAGCAGGCAGUACACGUGCUUUUUGCCGCCCAGCUUCUCAGUGAGCGUCCUGUGGGCAGAUUCCACGGUUUGCAGUUUGAACCAUUCAGUUUUCCCUAUAUCAGCAAUGCCUGGCUUAAGCUAGACCAAAAAAUAAAGUUUCCUACUUUCAUCCCAGUAGGACCCCUGGGUCUCCCUGGGUUUGAUCAGAUACUUCCUGACCUAUCCGGUCUCUGGGGUUUUAAAAGUGCUGGUUUUCUGGCAUUAUUUGGGGUAGCUCUGACCAUCCCACUGCAGAAAGGCUGAAGAAAACUGUCCAGCCAUUCCGUAAAACCCACCAUCCCAAGGUGUUUGCACACAGACAGGGGCCUGACCAUUCACUGCAGCCCUGAAUUUGGGAACCUCCUACAAAAACUGUAGAUAAAUGGCUGCCUCUACAUGUGCUGAUGUUGCAGCUUCAGCAGAUUCACAGUGCCGGAGCCCCACAGCAGAUACCCAAGAAAGUAUUGAUCGCAGCUGCUUUGUCUCAUCUGACAAAGGAGCAGUGAUAACCAACUUCAGCAGCAAGAAUGAGAGUGUUUUGAAUGUAAAUUGUAUUAAUAGAUUAUAUUGCUGCUUUGCUAUAGAGGUGCAAAAGUUUUCAUAUGUUAGAGGAGCCAUUAUGUGUUACAAAUGUCUGAAGGAACGUUGUUCACAGUUCAGGAAUCACCAAAGAACAACCCACUGUGCCUCAAUUUAAGCCUUCAAGUACUGUCCUUCAGAAAAUAGAGUAUCCUGUAAACACGUAGCAUUGCAGAUUAAAUAAGCAACAGCCUGGAGUGUUGAAAGGGUUAUUUCUUAUUUUAGCAUUUCAAAUGCUAGUUUUAGGAAGCGGUCAUUUCCUUUCCUGUCUCAGUAAAGCUUGUCCUACUUAGAGACGACAGAAACCAUUUGCUACAAGGUGGCUGUACCUGAGCUCUGCUUAGGUUGCAUGAGGCAAAAAGCGCAGCUAAGCAGGGCACACAGGCAAGCUGGGCGAGAGCUGGCAGGGCUCAGUACUGAGAGGAGGGAAAAGGACCAGAAGAAGAGAAAGAGGGGGAAAGCUGUAAGGAAGGGGCCAGAAGGCAGACCAUAGGGGAUGAACGGCAAUUUUAAAUCACCCAAACACACUUCCUUCCAAAAUCUCCUCAGACAGACCAAAUCUCUGGAUUUGUCUUGCUUUCAGCAAGCAGCUCCAUGGCCCUUUUGCACAGCAGUCACUCCUCCUCGUCCCACCAUCUUCUCCCCAUGGGCGACAAAGUCCUGGUGCUACCAGCCUCUACAUUAAUUCCGUGACCUUAGGAGCAUAGCUAGGAGUCACCGUUGGUUUUAUUAGGAGUCUUAGGAACUUGAUUAAAAGAGACUGUUACUGCUUUUCCACACCGAAAUGCAAAGGAAGUAAAGGAACAGAGAUUGCAUGUCCAACCUCAUCCCCUUUUUCUGUAUGUUUUGCCACUCUGUUUCCUUUGGUAAUCACCAGCUUGUUUCCAACGGAUCCUUGAUGCACAGCCAGAGUAGUGCAGGGAGCAACAGGCUUUUUUUUCCUCCCAGAGGUUGGCAUUAAAUAAUAGGUAAGGCAAGGGAUUGCAUAAACAAUAAUAAGAUUAGAUUGCUGGCUGCAGAGUUAACAUUUAAGGAGAGCAAGGCAGCAUCAGGUCCCUGCUUAGAAGAAAAUAAAAGAGGCAACCAUUUCCUAGCAGCUGGAAGAAACUUGCUUAAAUGCUUAAUGUUUUGAAGACAUACUGUGAGUCCCAACGUGUGUACUUGUCUGUUUGGACACUUAAGAAAGCUGAACACCAACUUAGAGGUGCCUCUGCAGUCUGCCAAAACAAGUGAAGAAGUAAAUUGAUGAGACCGCUAAACACUGCAGCCUACUAGGUGUUGGCUUGGGGUUGCUCCUGUGGUGGGCAGGUUGGCUGAACGAAACCAUUCGUGGCUGACCACCGCCUGUUUUCUGCUCCACAAGGGAAUAGCUCAGCAGCUGGCUGAGCUCUCAUGCAGCAGCCUGGCUGUGGGUAAUGGGUGCAAGUCAAGUUUUUUCUAGUUUGAUGUUAAUUUUUUCCCCACUUGCUAAUAUCCACCAUGAAAUACUAGAACAAUGUGUUUACCACCAUUUUAUUUUGGCAUUGCUAUGCUGUUCCUACACUGUAUUUGAAGUUAAUGGAAAUUAUGUUUUGAACAUGUGAAAUGCCCUGUAAUGCUAAGAACUCUUGGCAACAAUCUGGUACUUGGCAUUUACCAGACACUGUAACAGUUUCAGCCUGAGUCUCUUAGUUCUCCUACUGUAGAAACGAUAACAUGCCUAGUGCCAUCACUGUGCUGCAAAAGUAAACUAAUGUGUGAGGAAGCCGGGUACCACACAGAGGAGAAGAGCAGAAGCUCUCGUAAGUGUUACCCUUGUAUGCAGUGGAGGACAGUAAACAGAGUAAGCAGGGCUUGAGGCUGUAUGUGGAAUGAACAGGACAAAAGGCAGCACUGUAAUCACACACCAAGGCAUGGGCACUCUGGAAAAAAAGAGUAUGUGGUUAUGCAGCUACAGGCAGGAGAAGAGCUUGUGCAAAGAUCACAGCACAUAGCAGCUGGAGGGCUACUUCUUAUAUUUGGAGAACUUAUAACUUCAGCAUUUUUCCUGUGUGAUUUUGGGCAAAAGGCAGGGGAAGAGGGUGUGCUUUUAGUAUGAAUGCUGCUGUCCCACAUCCUGAUGAGCUUCUGCAGGUAAGUGCCCACCACACGACCGUUUAAAGGUCCUGUUGAGCUGCAAUUAUUCGUGUGUGUAGGUCACAGCAGAGCCCGUUGCCUUGCUUUCCGUUGUACUUCCUGAACACUUGCUCUCUCCUACUGAAAAGGGUGCCCUACCGUGUGCUUGAGCUCCAGCCUCGUAGCCUCAUUUCCUUUCUGCUCACCAGAUACGUUAAUAGCUUAAGCACAUCACCUUUGAUAACUUCAAUGCUACAUGGACUGAACAUCAAUCUCUUCAGACACUCACAGUUAGCGACACAAACCAGAUAUGUUGUGUAGGGGUUCCUAUUGUACACAAUAUUAGUGCACUUGAGCACACUAAACCUGCAGGUGUGAGGAAACCAAUGACUAUGCCUUGUUCUUGUGCCUCGGUUUCCUUUUUGGUGGGUUGAGAUCAGAAUUGGUUUAAAUAUAUGGGCUUUAAACCACAAAUCCUCUCUCCUGAACAGCAAAACACUGUCCUUUAGUUAAAUUAACCACCUAUGAUACAGAAACAAGCCCUUCUGUUCUGCUCAAGCUUUCUGUACAUCUCUCCAUCACCCUCUCCAAAGCUCUUGAGAUUAAUAUUUUAUAAGUUUUCAUGUCAACUAGGUCAAAUAGUAACCUCAUUAUUCUCCUGUUUAAAGAUUUCCAAACUCUCUCUUUCUGCAGACAUAUCUAAUUAUUUGGUUUCACUAAGCUAUAGCUGUCCUUUUUUCCUGGUGUGAUGUUGUCCCUGACUUCAUGUCAGGCACUUGACAGCAUGUGGCUGACUCGGCACAGACUCACCAAGUCCUCCGGGUGGGAAGGGACCCCAGGAGGUCUCUGCUCCCACCUGCUGCUCAGGGCAGGCUCAGCUCUGAGGUCAGAUCA